AACAACCCAAUCUGCUAAUCUCUGAUACCGCUUUAUACUCAUGACCUUGUAUCCACUGACUGUCUUGUUAGAUUAAUUCAAUAAAUUUCAUUCACUCUGCAUACUCAAUCCUAUAGACACCCUUUUAAUUCUUCAAUCACAGACAUAACUUCGAUUUCAUAAAACAGUCAAGAGUAAUCACAUCCACUUCAUUAAAACCCUGAUUCACCAGUACAGUACUGACUUCAGCAACGAUUGCCUCAGUCUUCCCAAAACCCUAUGAAAAAAAAUCCCAAUUCUCUGUCUUUUUUCUCCGCCCGAAGCAUGAAGCUAGCUCUCUGACCCUUCAAACCCCUAUUCUCUCCCCUUUCAUUUCUUAAUCUAUCAUCUCCUUUAAUCC
rnacentral:lncRNA from 1 species